rnacentral:rRNA from 1 species
AUUGAACGCUGGCGGCAGGCCUAACACAUGCAAGUCGAACGAGUGGCGGAAGGGUGAGUAAUGUCUGGGAAACUGCCUGAUGGAGGGGGAUAACUACUGUACACUGUAGUUAAUACCGCAUACCAUCGGAUGUUCCCAGAGGGGAUUAGCUAGUAGGUGGGGUAAAGGCUCACAUAGGCGACGAUCACUAGCUGGUCUGAGAGGAUGACCAGCCACACUGGAACUGAGACGCGGUCCAGACUCCUACGGGAGGCAGCAGUGGGGAAUAUUUCACAAUGGGCGCAAGCCUGAUGGAGCAAUGCCGCGUGUAUGAAGAAGGCCUUCGGUUUGUAAAGUACUUUCGGCGGGGAGGCGUUACCCGCAGAAGAAGCACCGGCUAACUCCGUGCCAGCAGCCGCGGUAAUAC